UACGUAGGGACCGAGCGUUGUCCGGAAUCAUUGGGCGUAAAGAGCGUGUAGGCGGCUUGCUAAGUCUUGCGUGAAAUCUCGGGGCUCAACCCCGAGCGGUCGUGGGAAACUGGCAGGCUAGAGUGCGGGAGAGGAGAAUGGAAUUCCUGGUGUAGCGGUGAAAUGCGCAGAUAUCAGGAGGAACACCGGUGGCGAAGGCGGUUCUCUGGGCAUUACCUGACGCUGGAAGCGCGAAAGCUAGGGGAGCAAACGGG
rnacentral:rRNA from 1 species